CUUUAUUGGAGAGUUUGAUCCUGGCUCAGGAUGAACGCUGGCGGCGUGCCUAAUACAUGCAAGUCGAGCGAAUGGAUUGAGAGCUUGCUCUUAUGAAGUUAGCGGCGGACGGGUGAGUAACACGUGGGUAACCUGCCCAUAAGACUGGGAUAACUCCGGGAAACCGGGGCUAAUACCGGAUAACAUUUUGAACCGCAUGGUUCGAAAUUGAAAGGCGGCUUCGGCUGUCACUUAUGGAUGGACCCGCGUCGCAUUAGCUAGUUGGUGAGGUAACGGCUCACCAAGGCAA
rnacentral:rRNA from 1 species